UACCGGAUAAUAUUUUGAACCGCAUGGUUCAAAAGUGAAAGACGGUCUUGCUGUCACUUAUAGAUGGAUCCGCGCUGCAUUAGCUAGUUGGUAAGGUAACGGCUUACCAAGGCAACGAUGCAUAGCCGACCUGAGAGGGUGAUCGGCCACACUGGAACUGAGACACGGUCCAGACUCCUACGGGAGGCAGCAGUAGGGAAUCUUCCGCAAUGGGCGAAAGCCUGACGGAGCAACGCCGCGUGAGUGAUGAAGGUCUUCGGAUCGUAAAACUCUGUUAUUAGGGAAGAACAUAUGUGUAAGUAACUGUGCACAUCUUGACGGUACCUAAUCAGAAAGCCACGGCUAACUACGUGCCAGCAGCCGCGGUAAUACGUAGGUGGCAAGCGUUAUCCGGAAUUAUUGGGCGUAAAGCGCGCGUAGGCGGUUUUUUAAGUCUGAUGUGAAAGCCCACGGCUCAACCGUGGAGGGUCAUUGGAAACUGGAAAACUUGAGUGCAGAAGAGGAAAGUGGAAUUCCAUGUGUAGCGGUGAAAUGCGCAGAGAUAUGGAGGAACACCAGUGGCGAAGGCGACUUUCUGGUCUGUAACUGACGCUGAUGUGCGAAAGCGUGGGGAUCAAACAGGAUUAGAUACCCUGGUAGUCCACGCCGUAAACGAUGAGUGCUAAGUGUU
rnacentral:rRNA from 1 species